ACACAUACUAUUAGAGGAAAAAAUAGAGAACACUUCCAAGGUGAACGUGACUAAAGGAGGGCUUGUCUUGUAGAAAUAUAAUCGGUGCUUAUUUUCUUCCACUUCCAGUCCUUGCUGCGGGAAAGUAUAAAAGUAGCAAAUCCUAGGCAGCAUUUCAGCUGACAUAUUUUCUCAUAUAUUAUUGUCCUACAUAAAAUAAGAUAACACUUGCAGUAUGUGUAGCUAAUGUUCUUUGCAUAUUCUACGUAUUCAGACUAGUUAAUCUGUUGUGAGUUGCAUUAAACCGUAAUUACAAAUGUUACCAUAUCGACUUUGUGUUGGCAAUUUUGUAAUUUUCAUUUCAUUUCCUGGUCUGUCUUCAGGUCUGUGUCUAGCGGCGGGUGGACCCCUGGGGAGACCAGCAUGAGAAAGGGAUGUCGGUGAUGUCAGCGUUAAAUUGUUCUGCAGUUUAUAUCCUCCCACUUUCACUUGUGUCACCGACGCCGGAGAUGUGCCCGUGGACGUAUUAGCAUUACCACAGAAUUCCACCUCAGAUAAAUGUCAUCACUGAAAUUGGUGUGGUCAGUGGAUGGUCAGUGUGGUGUGGUCCCUGCUGGUGGCCGCCACUGGACACCCCUGACCAUUGUAUACAGGAAAGUUUUCUUUCCUGUGAUGAGCAGUCCUUCCAUUGUUGCCUAACUCAUUCCUCCCAGUUGUGAAGUCCACUUGGAGGUAUUGCCUAACUAGGAAGGAAGAGCUGUGCAUACAGACAAUGGUAAUAGUCACAGAUAUAACUUUGAUAUUUGUAACAUGGUAAUGUUUACAUUGGGGAUAAAAUAAUCAUGUUUCAUGCUUACAUAGGGGUUAAAAGACGGGUUGCCUUCCUGUUAAUUGAAAGUAGAAUGAAAUGAUUUUUUUAAAAUGGUCAAAUAAAAGUAAUAAUAUUGUAAUUGAAAUGCAAGGGGGCUUAUUGAUGUAACAGUUACAAACAAUGACCUAUAUUACAUGUUGUGUAAUGUAUUAUGUCUUCUAAGAAAAAGAAAAUUCAGAGCUUGUUGACGAGGGUUAUAGAAG